rnacentral:misc_RNA from 1 species
CAGAGUUCAUGCCCUAACGGGUAGACCUCCCACCCUUGUGUAUUCAUACUUUGUUGCUUUGGCGGGUUGUACCUUGCGGUGCUUUAGGGCUCGCCCGCCCGCCGAAGAAAACCCAAAUUCUAAAUGUUAUUGUCGUCUGAGCAGUAUAUAAUAGUGA